GAGAACCAGUCAGGGUUGAGAUAAUGGACUGGGAGCCCAGCCACAGCCAGGAGUCCCGGAGAGAGCCCAGGCAUGACCAGUCUCAAGGGACCUCUGUUCGGGAAGGCAAGACCGAUGUAGACAGCCAUCCGUUCCAGUGUCAAAUCCCACCUGCAGAGGAGCUGACCGGAGAGACUCCCCCUCCACAAAGCUCUUCCCUCUUCCAUCCAUACCAAAACUCGCUCUCGGUGAAGGAUCUGGAACAACUUGGUACGCUUCACUAGGACCCUGUGUGGGAGAGGAAAUCAAAGAUGGCACGGUGGGGGGGCGGGGGGGGCGGGCGCAGUAGGCUGUGUCGCAUGGCUCGCAAUCCCUAGAAAGCAUUUCCAUCAUUUCUAUCGUUCCCAUCACCAGAAGCUUUUUUUUUUUUUUUAACGUUUAUUUAUUUUUGAGACAGAGAGAGAGCAUGAACAGGGGAGGGUCAGAGAGAAGGAGACACAGAAUCUGAAACAGGCUCCAGGUUCUGAGCUGUCAGCCCAGAGCCCGACGCGGGGCUCGAACUCACAGACUGCGAGAUCAUGACCUGAGCCGAAGUCGGCCGCUUAACCGACUGAGCCACCCAGGCGCCCCCACCAGAAGCUUUUAGUGACCAGAAGCCGGUGGCCCUUCUGCCCGCACCAGCCACUGCGGGUUCCCCCCAAAUUCCCCACCCUCCCCCACAACUUCAAGCUUCCAUGCCUCCCACGUCUAGCAGUCAGUAGUCGUUCGGCUCAGUCCCAGCCUCUCAGCCCUGGAACAUGGAGACAGGAAAACUGAAUAACUCGCCGAAAGGGCCCAAGCAAAUCACUUUAGAUACCAUUUCCAGC
rnacentral:lncRNA from 1 species